UAAUAACAUCACUUUAAUUGCUAAAGAGGAAUCCCAUUACGAGUAGUGGACCGUCUAUAGUCCAAAUAUAACCAAUAGCUAGCAAGUAGCCUCAGCUAACAAAUUGUAUGAUGAGUGUUCUCCAGUUUGGAGAAACUCUGGAAACUGAUGUUAUGGAGUCCUUAUUUGUGCACAACCCAACCUUUUGAGUAGCGUCUGUGUCUAAGUUACACAUGGUAACAGUUUUGUUUUGCCACGUUGCUCCCUCUGUAUGUAUCUCAUGAAUAACUGUAGCCUGCAAUGCUUUGAAGAAACUGAGAUUAAUGUUAACUUUAUUUUACAUGCUGACUGAUAAUGUCACAAUUUUAUUGUAAAUAAUUACAUUUUUCCACUAUAGUGUAUCAGUCAUUGAGGUAAUAAAGGAGCAAAAGCAUUUUGUUCUUGGAUUUCUGCUUCAACAAAUAAUAAAACAAAGUAAGAAACACAUGUCGACUUAAUAAAAAAAAAGAAGUUACAAACAGGAAAUAGACUUGUACAGAACAUCAUAAAACUGAUACUGAUUGAUUUCUAACUGUUGCAGUGCAUGGCACAUACAUAAAUGUUGCUUGGUCCCAUGUAUUUGAUUGGAUGUGACAAAA